GGGGGUGCUAAAUACAUGCAGUCGAACGCACAGCGAAAGGUGCUUGCACCUUUCAAGUGAGUGGCGAACGGGUGAGUAACACGUGGACAACCUGCCUCAAGGCUGGGGAUAACAUUUGGAAACAGAUGCUAAUACCGAAUAAAACUUAGUGUCGCAUGACAAAAAGUUAAAAGGCGCUUCGGCGUCACCUAGAGAUGGAUCCGCGGUGCAUUAGUUAGUUGGUGGGGUAAAGGCCUACCAAGACAAUGAUGCAUAGCCGAGUUGAGAGACUGAUCGGCCACAUUGGGACUGAGACACGGCCCAAACUCCUACGGGAGGCUGCAGUAGGGAAUCUUCCACAAUGGGCGAAAGCCUGAUGGAGCAACGCCGCGUGUGUGAUGAAGGCUUUCGGGUCGUAAAGCACUGUUGUAUGGGAAGAACAGCUAGAAUAGGAAAUGAUUUUAGUUUGACGGUACCAUACCAGAAAGGGACGGCUAAAUACGUGCCAGCAGCCGCGGUAAUACGUAUGUCCCGAGCGUUAUCCGGAUUUAUUGGGCGUAAAGCGAGCGCAGACGGUUUAUUAAGUCUGAUGUGAAAGCCCGGAGCUCAACUCCGGAAUGGCAUUGGAAACUGGUUAACUUGAGUGCAGUAGAGGUAAGUGGAACUCCAUGUGUAGCGGUGGAAUGCGUAGAUAUAUGGAAGAACACCAGUGGCGAAGGCGGCUUACUGGACUGCAACUGACGUUGAGGCUCGAAAGUGUGGGUAGCAAACAGGAUUAGAUACCCUGGUAGUCCACACCGUAAACGAUGAACACUAGGUGUUAGGAGGUUUCCGCCUCUUAGUGCCGAAGCUAACGCAUUAAGUGUUCCGCCUGGGGAGUACGACCGCAAGGUUGAAACUCAAAGGAAUUGACGGGGACCCGCACAAGCGGUGGAGCAUGUGGUUUAAUUCGAAGCAACGCGAAGAACCUUACCAGGUCUUGACAUCCUUUGAAGCUUUUAGAGAUAGAAGUGUUCUCUUCGGAGACAAAGUGACAGGUGGUGCAUGGUCGUCGUCAGCUCGUGUCGUGAGAUGUUGGGUUAAGUCCCGCAACGAGCGCAA
rnacentral:rRNA from 1 species